GUGGAAAAUUGAAAGAAUUCGAAAAGUGAAAUCAAUAUUCAGCCUAAGUUAACAAUGUUUUUGAACCUGAAAGAUGAAAGAACUUGAUGCAUGUUUUGUAAAUAGUGAAUCUCAAAUGAAUCCAAGAACUUUGAGUCGUCAUUACACUUUCUUUCCAAUUUUAAUAAUGGUUUUUGUUUGAUUUUUCUAGGUGAUAUUGCAGACAUACCAUUUUGCAAGUACUUACCUGAGCAGCUGAGCUCUUCCUUUCUGUGGUUCCUUUCAAUUGAUUCAUUUGAGUUAAAUCCCUUGCCACUGUUCCAGACCUUACCCACUAGUGGAAUAUGCAGAGAGAUGUUCAACUUAUAACAGGUUAGCCCUUCGCCAUUGUGCUACAAUUUGAAGAAGUUGACGGUUACAGAAGAGCUGGCUUUCGAUCAAUAUCAAUAAAUUAUGUAGAUGUAGAUAAAU
rnacentral:lncRNA from 1 species